AUGGUAGUGGCUGUGGACCAAUGGCGUCCAUAUCUCCAACACAGUGAGUUCAUCAUACAUAUUAAUCAGAAGAGCCUGGUGCAUUUAGAAGAACAAAGACUCACGACCCCUUGGCAACAAAAAGCAUUUACCAAACUCCUCGGUCUUCGAUACACCAUCAAGUACAAGAAAGCGACAGAAAAUGGGGAUGCGGAUGCUCUCUCCCGUGCCACCCACACUGAGCAAUUGCAAGCAAUAUCAUCUUAUCAGCCUAGUUGGAUGGAAGACAUCAUUGCCAGCAACAACUCAAACCCACAAGCCCAGAAACUGCUGGAACAAUUAGCCAUUAGAGCAGAUCCAAAAGGACGCUUCACUCUAGAACAACGCAUCUUACGAUUCAGAGGACGCAUCUGGCUAGGUGGCAGCACAUCAAUGCAACAAAAGGUAAUCAAGGCGUUUCAUGAUACCCCUCUUGGAGGACACUCGGGCUUUCCAGUAACAUGGCGCCGAGUAUGCCGCCUCUUUGCUUGGGCCAAAAUUAAAACACACAUUCAGCACUAUGUGCAUUGUUGCCCUAGAUGCCAGCAGGCCAAGCCAGACUGA
rnacentral:rRNA from 1 species